rnacentral:tmRNA from 1 species
GCCCUUUUCAUUGUCAGCUGCUGACCCUAUAUUGGGGAUGCUGCGCAAGCAGAUAUGACAAUAAACGAGCGUUGAAAUAAACCAUUCGGACCCGGGGGCGGUACCCGGCGCCUCCACCAUGAUCCGGCGACUAUGCCGAGACGGCCAAACGGCCGGAUGAUGAUGGGGGCGAAACAGGAUCGACGAGGGUGUAAAGAGCGACUUUUUGUUCGGUAUUGUACCACCGUUAUCGGGCUAAACUUGUAGUUGCAAAUGACAACUAUGCGGAAGCUCGUCUCGCUGCUUAAUUGCGGUGUGACACUUCAAAUCAAGUCCUAGAGGGUCGCACUUCUGGGCGGGGUUCGGAGGUACCUGGCAACAGAAACCUCCACU